rnacentral:rRNA from 1 species
GAUGAACGCUGGCGGCGUGCCUAAUACAUGCAAGUCGAGCGAACAGACGAGGAGCUUGCUCCUCUGACGUUAGCGGCGGACGGGUGAGUAACACGUGGAUAACCUACCUAUAAGACUGGGAUAACUUCGGGAAACCGGAGCUAAUACCGGAUAAUAUAUUGAACCGCAUGGUUCAAUAGUGAAAGACGGUUUUGCUGUCACUUAUAGAUGGAUCCGCGCCGCAUUAGCUAGUUGGUAAGGUAACGGCUUACCAAGGCAACGAUGCGUAGCCGACCUGAGAGGGUGAUCGGCCACACUGGAACUAAGACACGGUCCAGACUCCUACGGGAGGCAGCAGUAGGGAAUCUUCCGCAAUGGGCGAAAGCCUGACGGAGCAACGCCGCGUGAGUGAUGAAGAUCUUCGGAUCGUAAAACUCUGUUAUUAGGGAAGAACAAAUGUGUAAGUAACUAUGCACGUCUUGACGGUACCUAAUCAGAAAGCCACGGCUAACUACGUG